UACGUAGGUGGCAAGCGUUGUUCGGAAUUACUGGGCGUAAAGGGCGCGUAGGCGGCAUGGCAAGUCAGACGUGAAAUCCCCAGGCUUAACCUGGGAACUGCGUCUGAUACUGGAUGGCUUGAAUUCGGGAGAGGGAUGCAGAAUUCCAGGUGUAGCGGUGAAAUGCGUAGAUAUCUGGAGGAAUACCGGUGGCGAAGGCGGCAUCCUGGACCGAGAUUGACGCUGAUGAGCGAAAGCUAGGGGAGCAAACGGG
rnacentral:rRNA from 1 species